rnacentral:tRNA from 1 species
UGCCCCAUGGCUGAGUUGGUUACAGCGUCCGACUGUUACCCUUCGCAAUCGGAAGGUCGUGAGUUCGAGCCUCACUGGGGCAG